GAAGGCUCCUUCCUGAGAUGGGGUGUUCUGUUGCUUGAAAUUUGCAUGCCAGUCAGAAAGAAGAGGUCUUGGAGCAUUGAGCAUCUCCCCCAUGGGACCUCAGUUUGUGGUACCCGAGUAGCAGUGUGCCCACAUGUGCCUGGAGCUGCCCUGUGCCUGCAAUGUUGUCACCUGGGACUGCGCUUUGCAGCACACAGAGCAAAAUUGUCCCAUGUUGUGUCAGUGCAGUGAGGGAUGUGCCUCCCUUCUUGCUGUUGGAAAGGGAGCUCUGGACAGUUUGUGUCAGUCUUGAUACUCCAGAGUCAUCAGAAUCUGGCAGUCCUUAGCAACAGUAGGCACAGGGAAGCCUUGGGGAGAGCUGGCCACAAGAGGAUCAAGAUGAGGAUGUCAUUGUGCUCUUCCCAUCAUGGCCAUGAUGCACAAAGUCCUUCCAGGGAUUGCCUGUAGGAGUGCUGGAACAACAGUGAGACUGUGGAUGGAAGGCACUGGGUUGGAGCACACCUCCAGCAAGCCCGACUGGUUCUGUAUGCCACUCCUGCACCUCUGGAAGCCAUGGGGCCAAUGGCUGCUGCUGGAGAUGCUGGUGCAGGCAGUGACAUUUCCACAGUCUGAGACUGCUUCAAGCCCACACUCUGCCAUCAUGUCUGGAAUAGAGCGGUUGUUUUUCAGUUGUUGAAUUCCAGCUGUAUAAUUGAUCUCUAGGUAGUGCUUUUCUCAGUGUGCUGAAUUAACCACUGGUGCACAAUGGAGGAAAAAUGCUUCUUCAAAUACAUGGAUUCUUUACGGCCAUUAAGGAAGAAAUUGCCAAAGGUGACUGUUAUGCCUUGGGAUGGACCUGCAGUUCUGCUCAGGAUGAUGGCUCUGGGAGUCCUGAGCCUGUAGGCGGGAUCUCCUGUGCGCCAGCUGUGCAAAUGAAACACAGUGUUCCCUUGGGAGAUUUGCACCCGGGCUCAAGUUUUACAUGGAAGUUUUUUUUCCAUACGAGCGUAAAUGAGGCACAUUUGUCUGUUUUGCUUUCAGCUUACCAAACAAAUCCUUUCACUGUUUGCAGGAAGCAGUAAUUUUGCUUCCAGCAUCUCUGUUUACUAAGAAAUAAUAAACACUUGUGGGAAGGUUUAUCUUGCCAUACGAUCCUCCAGGUGCCAAUUUGUUUCUAUAUAAUUGGAAUCUUCUGGUAUCUUUACUUAAUUUCUGCAAUCUUUCUAUUUAUGUGUCUUGAGAAAGAAACGCCUGUCUAAAAGCAGGAGACAGAUUGAAGCACCAGUGGGAAGCGAUGAGACAUUGCAAAUCAGUGCUUGUUCUAACCAGGCUCAGGAGGAGGAGCUGAGUGCAUCGGGUCAUCAGUUGGUUCCCAGUGUUGAAUGUACCCAUAUCAGACACGAGCAAACGUCAUUAGAAGGUAAUACAGAGCAGUCAGACUUAAUGCUGAAGCCAACUGGGAGUAGCACUGAGGGUCCGUUUCCAUCCAUGAGCGUUCAGGAGAUGGGUGUCUGGAUAGAGGCACAGACUUCCAUUAAUUCCUUCACUGAAGCUCUAAACUGCAUUUCCAACCUAUGAGAUAAAAUUAACUUCAGGUCUGGGGUUAUUUUUUUAAACUUUAAGUGAAGACUCUAAAACUUGGAUGUCUCUCCGUUAGAGACUCGUGGAGAAUAAAAACCAGCACUUAGUUUUCAGAUAACAUGUUAGUUUUGAUUUUUGUACUGGCUCUGACUGAAGCAUAGGUAUUUCCCAGAGUGAAGACAGAACAGAGCACUCAGCUCCAUGUGUUGGUAUCAGAGAGGUGAAAGCCGUAGGGUGGAAGACAGAGAGAGGCUGAACCCAGAUAUCCAACUUCAGACCAACAGUUUUCAAAAGCCAAGGGAGGUAAAGGGGCCCGUAGGUACUGCAUGGGAGUUCAUCCACUGGGAUUAGCACUGGUAGCUUUGCAUGUUCUUUUUCCAUUGUAGUUUCAUUGGCAUCUUCAGAAGAUGACAUGAGAGGAAGAGCCUCUGCAUGAGGCACAGCCCAGGGGGAUGCUCAGUGCCUGCCUUGGGCUGUGUGCUCGCUCAUGUCUCCCUGUUGCCCUGCAGCUGGAGAAGGCUUGAUGGUUGGAAUUGAAAAUCCAGGUGCAUGAUGAGUGAAAGCAGCAGAUGGAAUGUGCUCAGGGUCCUUCCUGACCUCAGGUGGAAGCAAAAAAAGCAAUAAAACACAAUCAUGUAUUGAUUUGAGUAGCAGAGAGGAGUUAUGUCUCAAGCUACAAACAUGAUUUAGACCCGUUUCUCUUGUAAUUCAGCAGACUGACAGAGAGAUGAUUUUUUAAGUACGUGGCAUUCUGGUUUUAAUGCAAACAUACUUUGAAAGUGUUAUUUCAUUAAAUGGUGUUUUGACUUAUAGUAAUAAUAACGUCAUGAAUAAUUUAAAAAGAGAGCAUUUCUCAAUUUGGGGGCCUGUGAAGGAGAGAAAUGAAUAAUCUGGGUUCUUGUUGUAACUGAGUGAGUUGCUUUGUGCACCAAAGGCUGAAGGGCACACUGUAUUUGUAGGACAAAUCCAUCAUUGGAGAGGUUUGGGCAUCCCUGUGGUGUCCUCUUGGUGUCAGCAGUGGCGGAAGGAAGGAGAGCCAGACCCUGCUGCAAUGCUGGGGUGUCUGAUGCUGAAUUCCACAGGUGCCAAGAGAGGAGGAACUGCCAGUUCUCAGGAGCAGUGGUAGUUGAUUGGCUGCCAGCAGCUUGGGAGGAAAGGGAGCUGCCUGUGCUGCAAGAACUAUUUCUGGAGGUGAAGCCUGACACUGAACUUGAUGCCAGUUCCAGUGAUGGAACCAAAACAUUCCUGCUGCCCUUGGUGGGUUUAGUUAGGCCGUCAUGUCUGGAGAUGGAACAGCAAGGCAUGGCACUGCUGGGUGAGUUAUGGCCAUUCCCUGAGGAAUGAGGCUGGUCCUGGUGGUGCCUGCAGUGCUGGGGGAUGGGACAACAUUUGGCUUUGGUCUGGGGGUGACCAGUGGGUCAGUUCUGCGCUGCCCUGGAUGGUGCUCCAUGAAGGCAGGUCUCAUUGUGGUGCUGGGAGUGCAUCCACAGCCCUGCAUGGUGCUCCUGGGCACGUGGGGCUCUGAGGUCUGGG